GAUGAACGCUGGCGGCGUGCCUAAUACAUGCAAGUCGAGCGAACAGACGAGGAGCUUGCUCCUCUGACGUUAGCGGCGGACGGGUGAGUAACACGUGGAUAACCUACCUAUAAGACUGGGAUAACUUCGGGAAACCGGAGCUAAUACCGGAUAAUAUAUUGAACCGCAUGGUUCAAUAGUUAAAGACGGUUUUGCUGUCACUUAUAGAUGGAUCCGCGCCGCAUUAGCUAGUUGGUAAGGUAACGGCUUACCAAGGCAACGAUGCGUAGCCGACCUGAGAGGGUGAUCGGCAACACUGGAACUGAGACACGGUCCAGACUCCUACGGGAGGCAGCAGUAGGGAAUCUUCCGCAAUGGGCGAAAGCUUGACGGAGCAACGCCGCGUGAGUGAUGAAGGUCUUCGGAUCGUAAAACUCUGUUAUUAGGGAAGAACAAAUGUGUAAGUAACUAUGCACGUCUUGACGGUACCUAAUCAGAAAGCCACGGCUAACUACGUG
rnacentral:rRNA from 1 species